CUGUAGAUAUGCACUUUUCAAUGAUAAAGUACAAUUUUAUAAUUUAUAGAAAAUAAUUUCGCGGACCCCCUGACAAGGUGCUACGGAUCCCACUUUGAGAAUCACUGCUCUACAUGUCUUGUGAUUUUAUAGACAUUUCUCCAACGUUCAGCCUGACAUGUGUGUUAUCUUUAUAAACUUCUGGAUCUUCACAAAGAUUAUAAAUAAAGUUCUGUGGGUUUUGAACAGUAAUUGGAUACAGUGUGUGUCAGUGGGGUUUAACUUCUUAGGGCUGCAACUAACAACUGAUAAAUUUCUUAUAGAUUAAUCUGUUAAUUGUCAUAAAAAUAAUGACAAAUGUCUUCAAAUGUUGUGUCCGUAGCUCAGUUGGUAGAGCGGGUUGGCUAAUAAUUAUAGAGUUGAUCACAACGUAGGAAGGAAAAAUGUAAGUUGCUCAAGACAAAAUCUGCGAAAUGAUGGCGCUGUAAUUAAAUGUGAUUUAUAGUGACGUGAAACCGAGGGGAGUCACAUUUUAGAAAUAGGAACCAGCUAAUGUUCUGAUGCAUUUUACUUAAUAAAUGAGUUCAAACAAUAAAUCAUUGCUUACAUUUCUGCCAAUUUAAUAAUUGUUUAAUCCUCUGAGAUCCACAAUAGACCUAUUUUUGUGUUUUUUAAGGGGUACAGGAGGUCUUUAGGGGGAGAUAGCAGUACAUGUCACAAAGAAGUGGUGUACAUCAUCUGAAAGCUGGGAACCUGAAGACUAAUUUGAAUGAAUAGGUGUAUAAGAGUUUAGAACAUUAUGAUGGAAUUAAUUAUGCUUUUCUGAUGCUCUAUUAUGUCUCAUAAGUUGUUGCAGAAAAUUUGGGUUGACAUCAUUUGUUACACGUUACACUCCUUUCCAACAAGCUAUUAUGACAUGUUUAGAACCGAUGGAUUCUGUUUCAUAUGAUAUCUGUACCUCCACUCUAGCUCUAAAACUGAACCUGCAACAGCCUCUGAAAGACAGUAAAGUCGGUCGGGAUGUCUCUGGGGGUUAAAGGAUGAGUUUGGAAAUGUUUAAGUCUCUCUUUACACAAUAAUCACAUGCUCACAUGUGUACGCUGAAACAGUUACUAGUAAUCAUCCUGGCUGUGAAGAGAUCCCUUCUAAUAGUGAAAUUCUUCUCUUUCUGUGACUCUUUCUUGUGAAGAUCAGCCAGGAAACACAGCCCGGAAAAAAAAAAAGAAGGGAAUUUCAACCUCAAAAGUCAGUAACUUUGGAAGAUACCCAAAAUAGUGAAAGUGUGCCAGUUUGUACAUAUGAGUUUGAGGUUAUCAAGACAGACGUAUCCUU